UAUGGACUGGAUCAUGAGUCGUGGAAGGUGCUGACUGCUUCGAUUAAGUCAAUAGUUGCUCGCUUGACACUUUUUUUAAAAUUCGGGCCAUGACGUUGUUGUACAAGAUUGAUUGCAUGGGACAACCGGCUUAUCUGAAUGAAAUUCUUGUGCGUGGUCGGUCAACUCGGACGAAACAAUUUGUUAUUCCUCGAGCCGAACAUGUGGUGGGAAAGCAGACUUUGUUUGUACAAGGAAUCAACGAUUGGAAUUCAAUACCAGUGAGGACGAGAAUGGCUAGUUCGUUGAACCUGUUUCGGAAGGAGUGUGUGGAAUUUUUCAAUGGUCAAAGUAGGCCAACGAUAUAUGUGUGAGUGAGGACUUUUAUCGGUUUAGUCUAUUUUUGUGAGUGAGAGAACUCCGUAAAUCAGAUAACGUUGAGAUGAAAGUUAUGAUAC